rnacentral:rRNA from 1 species
GUCGAACGCUGGCGGCGUGCUUAACACAUGCAAGUCGAACGGUAAGGCCCUUCGGGGUACACGAGUGGCGAACAGGUGAGUAACACGUGGGUGAUCUGCCCUGCACUUCGGGAUAAGCCUGGGAAACUGGGUCUAAUACCGGAUAGGACCACUGCCUGCAUGGGUGGUGGUGGAAAGCUUUUGCGGUGUGGGAUGGGCCCGCGGCCUAUCAGCUUGUUGGUGGGGUGAUGGCCUACCAAGGCGACGACGGGUAGCCGGCCUGAGAGGGUAACCGGCCACACUGGGACUGAGAUACGGCCCAGACUCCUACGGGAGGCAGCAGUGGGGAAUAUUGCACAAUGGGCGCAAGCCUGAUGCAGCGACGCCGCGUGAGGGAUGACGGCCUUCGGGUUGUAAACCUCUUUCAGCACCGACGAAGCGCAAGUGACGGUAGGUGCAGAAGAAGGACCGGCCAACUACGUGCCAGCCGCCGCGGUAA